rnacentral:rRNA from 1 species
GGCGAACGGGUGAGUAACACGUGGGUGAUCUGCCCUGCACUUCGGGAUAAGCUUGGGAAACUGGGUCUAAUACCGGAUAGGAGCCAUCUUUAGUGUGGUGGUUGGAAAGUUUUUCGGUGUAGGAUGAGCUCGCGGCCUAUCAGCUAGUUGGUAAGGUAACGGCUUACCAAGGCAACGAUGCAUAGCCGACCUGAGAGGGUGAUCGGCCACACUGGAACUGAGACACGGUCCAG